GACGAACGCUGGCGGCGUGCUUAAAACAUGCAAGUCGAACGGACUUCUCAUGAAGCUUGCGAUUGAGAAGUUAGUGGCGGACGGGGUGAGUAACGCGUGGGCAACCUGCCCCUGAGCCCGGGAUAACAGUUCGAAAGGACUGCUAAGACCGGAUAUACUUGCGGGGAAGCAUUUCUCUGUAAGGAAAGGGAACGCUCAGGGGAUGGGCCCGCGUCCCAUUAGCUAGUUGGUGAGGUAACGGCCCACCAAGGCGACGAUGGGUAGCCGGCCUGAGAGGGUGAACGGCCACACUGGGACUGAGACACGGCCCAGACUCCUACGGGAGGCAGCAGUUGGGAAAUCUUCGGCAAUGGGCGCAAGCCUGACCGAGCAACGCCGCGUGAGUGAUGAAGGUUUUCGGAUUGUAAAGCUCUGUCUUCCGGGACGAUAAUGACGGUACCGGAGGAGGAAGCCACGGCUAACUACGUG
rnacentral:rRNA from 1 species